CACCCAGGCGCCCCUAUAUAUAUAUAUUUUUAACACGUUUCUUAACCUCAGAAUUGCUCUGAAAAUCCACAGCAUAGUUUAAAGAGCCUUCGUUUGGCCAGACAGAGAGUGUUUAUAGGUUUGGCUUAUCUCUCCUUGAAAAACUUCUGAAAUAGGUUGUGGAAUCCUGUUUCAUGUGAUAAAUGAAGCCCUGUCAGGGGAAGCAGCCAUUUUCUGCCCAAUGUUGAGAUUGAAAUCAACAGAUUUAAAAGUAAUUUGGCAUGGCGUGAAUGCAGAGCCGGGACCUCAGAGCUAUUUAACUGGAUACGGAAGCAUUUUGUUUUGUUCUUUACAGGUCGUACUUUGGUUACUCUGCAGGUAAUUAAGAUGCUUUCUUCUUCACAAGACUGCCUUUACUGCCGGAUCCUGUGUCGUGGUGAGCACCAGGAGGCCAGGGCAGUCAUGAGAGUAACGGGCAGGUGCAGGGAGGUGCGUGCCUCUCGGGCUGGCUUGUCUGGCUUCUUAUCUUUAGGUACAUCCAAUUAGCUUCUUCCUUGAGCCGUCUCCUUCCAACGGAACUGAGCAAGUGAAAUUGGGAGCUGGCGUCCAGCUGGUCUAGUCUUGUAUUCUUCCAGUAUUUGCCCAGCACUUCUUUAGAAAACAUCAUGGAAGAGCAGAGAUGAAGAAGAGCCAUGCUUGCCCCCAACUUGCCUGCGCCCCUCAGCCAAGCAGGUGCUGGGGCUGAACUGGGCACUGCCCUCCCCGGAAAGCCUGUCCCAGGCCUCCUGGGCCCAAGCAAACAGUAGUCGCCUUCCUGAAAUGAGUUCCGGUUAGUACAGCAUUCCCCCUCACCCCUUUAAAAUGGUGGUAAAACACACAUAACAGAAAUGGUUACUGUCCUAAUCAUUUUAAGUGUACAGUUCAGUACACGUCGUGUAAGCAGAUUCACACUCUCGUGUCACCGUCAUCACCAUCCGGCUCCAGCUUUGGUUUCUUCUCCUGAAUGAAGCUCUAACCCAUUAAACACUAACUGUGCUUCCUUCCUCCCCGCAGCCCCUGGUAAUCUUGGUUCUGCUUCCGGUUUCUGGGGGUUUACGUAGAAGGAGAAGCCUACGUAUGGCUGACUCAUAGCCCAUUGUGUGUAUGUACCACAGUUUAUCUACUCAUCCAUCGAUGGACGCUUGGGUGGUUUCCACCUUUUGGCCAUUGUGAGAACGCUUCUGAACUGUCUCUUCUCCCGUUUUGCCUGAAGUUAGUUAGCUUGCACGGCCACACAGACUUAGAAGUUGCGCGAUUUUCUGUUCUUGCGUCCAUGUGACUUGCGUCAGCGGUGGGAGCUUGACCACCCACCAUCGGUCGGCGCCCGACUCCAUCUAAGGGUGGCUGGCCUGUGUGCAUCUCUGCUCGUGUUCACGGAGGGUCUGCUCGUCGCUUGUCUGAGGGAGGC